AUGAUCUCGGCUCACUGCAACCUCUGCCUCCCAGGUUCAAGCGAUUCUCCUGCCUCAGCCUCGCGAGUAACUGGGACUACAGGCAUGUGCCACCACGCCCGGCUAAUUUUUUGUAUUUUUAGUAGAGACAGGUUUUCACCGUGUUAGCCAGGAUGGUCUCAAUCUCCUGAUCUCGUGAUCCGCCUGCCUCAGCCUGCCAAAGUGCUGGGAUUACAGUUCCUGCCAGUGAGUCCCUAGGCCUCCAUCUCUCUCCCUUGCUGUACCACCUUCACCACCAUCCAUGCGACCCCAAGAGCCUUAAUGACUCUAGAAGAGACUCCAGGCAGGGGAAGCUGAAAGGACCUUUCACUCCCUACUUUUGGCCAGGGCCUUCUGUGCCACCUGCCAAGACCAGCAGGCCUACCCUCUGAAGAGGUCCAAGCAACGGAAGUACUACUACGAAGCUGCCUUUCUGGCCAUCCUUGAGAAAAAUAGACAGAUGGCCAAGGAGAGGGGCCUAAUAAGCCCCAGUGAUUUUGCCCAGCUGCAAAAAUACAUGGAAU
rnacentral:lncRNA from 10 species